rnacentral:rRNA from 1 species
ACGCUGGCGGCGUGCCUAAUACAUGCAAGUCGAGCGAACGGACGGGAAGCUUGCUUCUCUGAUGUUAGCGGCGGACGGGUGAGUAACACGUGGAUAACCUACCUAUAAGACUGGGAUAACUUCGGGAAACCGGAGCUAAUACCGGAUAAUAUUUUGAACCGCAUGGUUCAAAAGUGAAAGACGGUCUUGCUGUCACUUAUAGAUGGAUCCGCGCUGCAUUAGCUAGUUGGUAAGGUAACGGCUUACCAAGGCAACGAUGCAUAGCCGACCUGAGAGGGUGAUCGGCCACACUGGAACUGAGACACGGUCCAGACUCCUACGGGAGGCAGCAGUAGGGAAUCUUCCGCAAUGGGCGAAAGCCUGACGGAGCAACGCCGCGUGAGUGAUGAAGGUCUUCGGAUCGUAAAACUCUGUUAUUAGGGAAGAACAUAUGUGUAAGUAACUGUGCACAUCUUGACGGUACCUAAUCAGAAAGCCACGGCUAACUACGUGCCAGCAGCCGCGGUAAUACGUAGGUGGCAAGCGUUAUCCGGAAUUAUUGGGCGUAAAGCGCGCGUAGGCGGUUUUUUAAGUCUGAUGUGAAAGCCCACGGCUCAACCGUGGAGGGUCAUUGGAAACUGGAAAACUUGAGUGCAGAAGAGGAAAGUGGAAUUCCAUGUGUAGCGGUGAAAUGCGCAGAGAUAUGGAGGAACACCAGUGGCGAAGGCGACUUUCUGGUCUGUAACUGACGCUGAUGUGCGAAAGCGUGGGGAUCAAACAGGAUUAGAUACCCUGGUAGUCC